rnacentral:rRNA from 1 species
UACGGAGGAUGCGAGCGUUAUCCGGAUUCAUUGGGUUUAAAGGGUGCGUAGGCGGCGUGCCAAGUCAGGGGUGAAAGGUUCCGGCUCAACUGGGACAGUGCCUUUGAUACUGGUGUGCUGGAGUGCGCUUGCCGUGGGAGGAAUGAGUGGUGUAGCGGUGAAAUGCUUAGAUAUCACUCAGAACACCGAUUGCGAAGGCAUCUCACGAAGGCGUAACUGACGCUGAGGCACGAAAGCGUGGGGAU